CCUACGGGGGGCUGCAGUGGGGAAUAUUGGACAAUGGGCGAAAGCCUGAUCCAGCCAUGCCGCGUGUGUGAAGAAGGCCUUCGGGUUGUAAAGCACUUUCAGUGGGGAAGAAAGCCUUGGGGCUAAUACCCUCGAGGAAGGACAUCACCCACAGAAGAAGCACCGGCUAACUCCGUGCCAGCAGCCGCGGUAAUACGGAGGGUGCGAGCGUUAAUCGGAAUUACUGGGCGUAAGGCGCGCGUAGGCGGUCUGAUAAGCCGGUUGUGAAAGCCCCGGGCUCAACCUGGGAACGGCAUCCGGAACUGUCAGGCUAGAGUGCAGGAGAGGAAGGUAGAAUUCCCGGUGUAGCGGUGAAAUGCGUAGAGAUCGGGAGGAAUACCAGUGGCGAAGGCGGCCUUCUGGACUGACACUGACGCUGAGGUGCGAAAGCGUGGGUAGCAAACAGGAUUAGAUACCCCAGUAGUC
rnacentral:rRNA from 1 species